CAUAUUCUCAAUCGAAGGUUGUAUUAUAAAUACCACAUGCAUAUGAUACGAAAUUUUAUAACCGAUCCAGUUCUGCUUCCGACGAGAUACUAACGUGCAACAUUUGGAUUAAGCGCUACGUUGAACGCUUUACGUUAUGAUCGUUGGAUAUCUAUAUUUAUUCCGGCCCGUCUCUAAGAGUUUUACAAUAGGAAUUUUGUUUUAGAACACGAGCCAAGACCGAAACUUUCAAUUACCAUAGAGGUAUCUUUACCUUGCUGUCUGUGCAAGCUGAGAACCAGCUAUAUAAGUCCGGAAACUCUCUAGACAUUAAUGUUAUAUAUCGGUAUAUGCACUAUGCUAUGUGUUUGGAUUUUGAUUACAGUUACAAGUUAUUUAAACUUAUGAACUUAAAUAAAAAUACAUGUAGAUCUCAGCAAAAUAUGACAGUCGAAAAUUAUUUAAUCCUAUCUUAGUUAUAAGUGUUCUUUGCUGUACCAACUUGACACAGGAGUGUAUUAACUUAUGACAUUGUCUUUGAUUGAAGUUCGAAUAAGGUUUUUGUUGAACAAUAACUUGGUAAUUUAUCGCUGUCUCUUACAAAAUGCAAACCUUAUUUUUGUAGUAUUUACAUGUGUUUUUAUACAUUUGAAAAGAACGCCCACAUUCACGGAUAUCUAGCACGAGAUCACGUCCGCAUCUGAAAACAAGUUAUUCAAACUUGUUAUUUUUAGAUUAAAUUUAAUAGCGAUUUUAAAAGGGGUAAAGAGAGGUCAGCAUGGGUAACUGCAAUGGCAAU
rnacentral:lncRNA from 1 species